rnacentral:lncRNA from 1 species
UUCGAAAAACUUUGAUAAAAUCCAAAAAAAAUAUUUCUCGCUUCUUUUUAGUUUUUCUUUCUAGUUUAAUUAGUUGUGUAAGUGCAUCUAGUGCCAUCCCUAGUUGGUUUUGGAGUAUUGAUGAAAACGUGGUUGAGGGAAUAAUGUGUUUGUGAGAAUUACAGGAUAACACAUGUAGUAGUCCCUCAUAGAUUCGGUUUACCUACCGGAGAUGACCCCUAAAAAUGUAUGAAGACAUUAAAGACAAUGGUGGUUCAUGAAUACAUUCACUUGAAGACUAUGGAGUGCAAAGACAUAGUUUCUUUCGUAGUUUCCUUUCAUUCUUCAUUGAGUCAUAGGAACCACCGUACUGUUAAGAGGGGUCCAAGUGAACAAAGUCAGAUGACUGAAGUGAUGGUCAACCAAAAUCCUAUGUCUUCGAGCGAAGACAAUAAGAGCAAAUCUUAUCCAGAGCUGGAUGAGUCUGCUUUGCUUGUAGCCCAAGCCAAGCUAUCGCAUGUGUUUGAAAUCUGACCAUUGGACAUGUGUUCGUUCCUUAGUGACACGGGGUCAUUUCAGACAUAUCAUGUCGGGUUGCCUCCUGGCUAUAAAUAGUCCACCCCCUACACCAUAAAUUGGUGGCUGCUCAGAGUUAGUGCACGACUUUUGUUAUUUGAGAGCAACCCACUUCCGAAGCCUUUGAGAGAGAUAUCCUUGCGAGGACAAAGCCCAAAACACCCAGAGCCAAAGAGUGUUAGGCAUCAUUGAAGUCUUUCUGCCCGCGUGACCUGAAGACUUGUUACACUUGAGGACUGUGUAUCCUCCAGCCGGUUAGGCGUCACGUUCUGAGGAUCCAGGAGUCAUUGUGGAUCGCCAGUGAACAGAGUCUGUGAAGGUUUGGAAGUCUACCUUGAAGACUUACCAGAGUGAUUGGGCGAGGACUGGGUGUCCUUAGAUCAAGGGGAAUAAGGUGAAGGCACGGUCUUCUAAGUUCAAUCUCAGCCUCCCUAACGAGACGUACAGUGGUCGAAGCAACUAGAACUGGUCUACCAAAUGCUUGUCUUCACCAAGCUACUGGUUCUACCCCGCCCUCACUUCCUUACUUUUCAAUUUGUCUUCCUGAAUUCAUUGCAUGCUUGCCUGAUUUGUUUGAUUUCACUGUGUGAAGACUAUUACCUGUUUGGCUUCAUACUGUCUUCCAUUCCGAUCCAUACUACCUAGCUCUUGUUAGUCUUCGUGCUUUCAUUACAUUGCUUAAUUGACUAUGUCUUGUCUAGUGUAGUUCAUCUUCCGCUGCAUAUCAUAUUGGUUCAUUCUAACAGUUUGUCUUCAAAGACCUCGUGUUUUGAAGACUUUCAUAAAAAUCGCCUAUUGACCCCCCCUCUAGUCGAUAACUAGCACUUUCAAGUUGUAGUAUUAAAAGAAAACACACAAAGAUUUCUCGUUCUUCUUUUGCUUGUUGGGAGCUUUCCUGUGUAAAUAGUUUUUCUCGUUUUUGUUCUACUUUCUUUAGAAAAACAAAAACUCCAAAAAUAUUUCAAUGUGUUUCUUUGAAAUUAUUUUCUUUUUCUUUGGGUCGUAAGGAGAAGAGCACGAUGAAAAUGUUGAGUGGCUCUCAUAUGCAUUAUUGCUUAUCUAACAAACACUGGUGCACGUCGGUCCUAAACAAAUGGUUUUUAACCCCUUUCCACGACGACAUUUGGAACCGUAGCCAAGUGAGUGUAGGCGAUAGGGGGGUCCUCCGCACACGACCUAGAAACCGUCGGGGAUAUGCCCUCCUGGCACACACGCUCAGAAAAAUGAGGUCGUGUGUGACCGGCGAGCGCUCAAAUACAGAAAUACGUACAGUAGAGCUAAAAAAUACAAUUAUACGGCGAAAUUGUUUCCGGUCGCAAGUACAUCCCACACAGUCAGUCCCGCCUAAACGUUUCCGUUUGUAUGUACAUCCCACACAGUCAUUCCAAGGAAAACGUUUCCGUUCAUAGGUACAUCACACACAAUUUUUCCCGUUAAAUCGUUUGUGAUAGCGUUGCCAUUGCACACGAUAUUAAUAAUUUUAUCGUUUGCGUUAUUGAAUGCAUCACACACGAUGCGUAGAAGAAACUGUGUGGCAAAGGCUGUCCAUCACACACACUUUUUAUGUGGUAAACAUUUGCGCAAGGUGGCCUAACGCAAACAGUUUUCAAGAGAAAGUCGUGUGUGUAGUGGAGAUUGAUCGCACACGUAGUGGAUCCUAGAAACGUUUCUGAUCUCCACGUAUAUCGCAGACGUUUCGCUUUCGCAAACUGUGUGCAGUGUAAUCCCUAAUUAAUCCAUAAUUAAUCCAAUUAAUCCCUAAUUUAAAAAUCACAUGUUUUGAAUUUGAAAGUAGGCAAUCACUUAUUUCAUAUCCAACCAUGUUUAUUACAAAUAUAGGUUCAACCACGAAUCCAUAAUUCGAUGCACAGGUACAUAUACUGAAGAACUACAGAAGCACCAAGUAAAGAAUGAUGAACCACAGUUGUACUAAAGACCGUAAAGAGAGAGGCGAAAGACAUUCUUGUUGCUGGAGAAGGUGAAGCAGAAUGCCCAUAUUGUGCCCUCCUCCAUGCGUAAGGCGCGCAUGACUCUAGGCCAACCCCGUGUGAUGGUUGCUCGUCCAUCCUUCACUGUCUUCAUUAGGACUUCUCGAUGCUCAUUGUAGUCUGGAUGAAAUACUUUAACCUUCAUUGCGUGUCCACCAAGCAUGUAAUAGGACUCACUCUUGGUGCAGCAGGGUACGAUUCAAAUCACAACCUCUUCAUGAAUGAACCAACAACUAAAAAACAUGCAUGAACGCAAAACCACAGGGGGCAUCCCCAGACAAACCAAAAGGUUCUCUCUGAUUAUAGAUAGUAGCGAAAUUGCCAAAACAUUAAAGACCUGAUCACAAAUUGUGCUUUUGACCAACCAACUUUCAGUACAACCGAUUGCAGCAAAAACUAGGUAGAAUAGUUCAAUAUCCAGACACGGGUAAAACUAGGGAUGGCGCCAGCGCCCAAUCAUGCCAGAACUAGAUCAAAGCGCCACACGGGGAGCAGGAGCUCCAGGGACAGCACGCGAGGUAAUCUUGAGUGAACUGCUUCAGGAACCACUGGGAACGAAAAAGAUUCAUAAAUUGUUGUCUAAUAACUCAUUAUGGGCAGUAAAAAGAGAAGGCUGUAGAUCAUAAACAAAUAAUUUGCUUGCCACCAUCCGUAUCUUUUUGCUAAUAAUCCUUAUCAGUUUCCUCACUUGACGCUUGUUCAUCAAUAUCUCAUUGCCCCAUACGCAGAAAGGGUCGAUGCGUGGACCCUUGCCGAGGGCAUAUGUACCUACAAGCAACAAGUCAAUAUUAGAAGCUAACUAGUGUCCAGGCCUGGAUCUGUAUUCACUACAUUAUGGAACGACGGGGG